CUGUCAUCUUAGAUGUUUUCCUAAUUUAAUUUUUCCUGCUUCGUCUUCAACCUCCAGCUCCAUCGCGCUCUUCCCUCUAGAUGCCGCUCCGAGUACUGUUCCCUCUCUGGACGGAAUGUUGGGCAAGUUCGUGGUCGGUUCUUCCCGUCGCGCCCUUUCCUGUUAGCGAGGCCCUAGAUGCUGCUCCGGCUCCCGUUCCCUCUCUGGACGCCGCUCCGGCUCCUGUUCCCUCUCUGGAUGAAACCCUAGAUGUCGCUCCGGCUCCCGUUCCCUCUCUGGACGAAAUGUUAGGCCGAGUUCAUCCGGUCGCGCCUCCGGCUACGAAAAUGGGAGUAUUGAAUGCCAUGAGCUGGGGUCUUCUGUUUCCUCUCGGAGUCAUCAUGGCGAGGUACCUUCGGGUGUUCAAAUCAGCCGAUCCGGCAUGGUUCUACCUCCACAUCGCUUGCCAAUGCUCCGAUUACGUCCUCAGCGUUGCUGGAUGGGGUCUAGGCCCUAAACUCGGCAGUGAAUCCAAGGGAAUUACAUACUACGCCCACCGCGACAUCGGAAUCGCUCUCUUCUGCUUCGCCACGCUUCAGGAAAAGAAAAAAACAAAUAGAUUGCACCGGAAGAGCCAAUUAACUUGACGGAACAUGGGUAUACCGGUUGAGGAUUGUUAGAAUUGACAUCAAAGAGGUAGCCGAUUGAUUUGCUGACAUCAAAGAGGUAGCCGAUUGAUUUGCUGACAUCAAAGAGGUUCUUGGUUGUGACGGCUUUGGAUGGCAUCCAACCUAGGGACUUGGGGGAGGAUGUUGGUUGUGUCUGGGACAGAUGGAUGGAGAGGAGAGGAAAGGGAAUCAGAUUACCUACCCUAGGCUUUUGGGACUUGCAGCCUGUUGGUGGGCCAUUUGGGAGGCCAGGAACAGUGUUAUCUUUCGAAAGAUUCUGCCCGACCCACUGAAUGCGGUCCUUAACAUUAAAUGCUGGACUAACAUCUGGGUUCAAUAUCUUUCCCCACAAA